UCGAUCCGUGUGCGAGAGAACCGCACGCACGAUUCGGAGGUAGGGGCGGGUAUACCGCCCCUACCUCUAU
rnacentral:misc_RNA from 1 species